rfam:Schistosoma mansoni strain Puerto Rico chromosome 2, complete genome
AUUCAGCUGACGAGUCCCAAAUGAGACUAAACGCGCAUCCUGGAU